GAAUUUUAUAUAAAUUUAAUAAUAAAUUUAAUAUAAUAUUAUUGAAUUUAUAUUUUAUUGGGAGGAUAAUUAAAUUAAAUAAACUUUAGUAGAAUAAAUCCAUUUAUUUAUGAAUUAUAAGUUAUAGAGUAAUAAAAGUUUUAAGUAGAAUUAAUUACCUUAGGGAUAACAGCGUUAUAUUUUUAGAGAGAUCUUAUUGAUAAAAAUGAUUGC
rnacentral:rRNA from 1 species